UUCGUAGGCGGUUUUUCGCGUCGGAUGUGAAAACUCAGGGCUCAACCCUGAGCCUGCAUUCGAUACGGGAAGACUCGAGGACGGCAGGGGAGACUGGAACUUCUGGUGUAGCGGUGGAAUGCGCAGAUAUCAGAAAGAACACCAAUGGCGAAGGCAGGUCUCUGGGCCGAUCCUGACGCUGAGGAACGAAAGCGUGGGGAGCAAACAG
rnacentral:rRNA from 1 species